rnacentral:tRNA from 1 species
GGCUCCAUAGCUCAGUUGGUUAGAGCGCCAGUCUAGUAAACUGGAGGUCGCGAGUUCGAUUCUCGCUGGAGCCU